GUCGCCCCUCCAGCAAUAGCGGAGGAGCGAUGCUGCUCACAACAACGAGCGGAGCGCCGGGCGGCUAAAGCGCAGCGAGUUGGCACAAUUAGGCGCUGGGGGGUUUGUGGGGGGUGGUGCACAGCUGAUGCGUCGGCCCCGGUCAUCUCGGUCGGUCAACAACGACUCAGAGAGAGAGAGAGACACCCUCCUGCACCUAGCCUGGCACAGGCGCGCGCGACGUGACGUCGACCGAACGUCGUUGUUGUUGUUGUUUAAAGCUGCGCAUUAUCCAUCCCAGCCUAAUGGCCACGCGUGCGGGCACGUGCAUGCGAACAGAGCCUGCCGUCAUCCGUGGCGGGGUACAAUUAGUGAGUCCACUCCCAGUGACAUCAUCAAUUAGUGAGUCCACUCCCAGUGACAUCAUCAAUUAGUGAGUCCACUCCCACUGACAUCAUCAAUUAGUGAGUCCACUCCCAUUGACAUCAACGCAGAGGCGAACUCGACCGCUUCGCUGAGCUCUCUCUCAGCUCUCUCCUCACCUCUCCCUCACCUGUCCUCACCUCUGCUCAGCUCUCCCUCCCGAGGCACAGCUGGCACGAUGAGGGCUCCACUCCAUCUCCUCGUUCUCAUCAUCACCCUCCUGCUGUUCCUGCUCGUGCUCACAGCCGAAGGGAGGCGCUGGGAUGACACGAGUCUGUGUCUCGCCAACAACGCCCGCUGUCGCCAGUCUCGCUUCUGCUCGCGAUCCGAGAGCCGCCUCGGCUCGUGCCUGCACGGGGCCUGGAGCUGCUGCAAGAAGAAGUGAAGCCUCUACUCGUCCCUAUCAUCAUCACCAUCAUCAUCAUCGUCCCCAUCAUCAUCAUUGACCCAUCAUCAUCAUCCUAUCAUCAUCGC